AUGUCUCCAUAAACUAUCCUUUCAAAGGGUGAGUCUGUCACAGAAUCAUAGAGCCAGCCAGGGAGAAUGAGAAGUGUUUUUCUAGCUAAACCCAGUGACGAUUUUGGGGUGUGUGUGUGUGUAUGGUUUAUUCACCUAUUUACAUCUUCAGUCUGCAUGGAGGGAGUCCAGAUCUUGCAGCAUGGUCAUUUCAGGUGGGGCUUGUCCCCCGCAGCAGUGCAGCCCUGGAGUCCAAGGCAUCUCCCCCACUUCCCAGCACACCUUGCUAAAGACUCUUUUCCUGUCACUUCAGACUCUGGCUGCAACUGGGCAUUUUUACAGGAAAGUGGACACUAAAAGUGAACCAGCUACCAAAGGCAUAUUCUGUGUAUCCAGUCCAUCCCGUGCAGAAACAAGAGCAUGGAUGUGAGGAAUGUCUUGAUCCUUUUGGAAUACACGUCCUCUGUGGCGAUCGUUGGCCCUGACUACCGCUGUGAACAGGGGAUCAUGUUCAGCAGCAGUCUGGAGGCAGCUUCGCUUUACCUCGCCUUUGAACUCCUCCACAGUCACACCACCCCUUUUCCUUCGAAAGAACCCGCCGCCUUUUCUGCUGGGUGGGUGCCCAUCUCCUCCUGUAACUCGGCCAAUGUCCAUGGAACAGAAAUAAAUGCCUAUCUGUAACCUC